AUUGAACGCUGGCGGCAGGCCUAACACAUGCAAGUCGAACGAGUGGCGGACGGGUGAGUAAUGUCUGGGAAACUGCCUGAUGGAGGGGGAUAACUACUGGAAACGGUAGCUAAUACCGCAUACCAUCGGAUGUGCCCAGAUGGGAUUAGCUAGUAGGUGGGGUAAAGGCUCACCUAGGCGACGAUCCCUAGCUGGUCUGAGAGGAGUAAAAUCCAAACUGGAACGGAGACACGGUCAAGACUCCUACGGUAGGCAGCAGUGGGGAAUAUUGCACAAUGGGCGCAAGCCUGUUACAGCCAUGCCGCUUAUAUGAAGAAGGCCUUCGGGUUGUAAAGUACUUUCAGCGGGGAGGCGUUACCCGCAGAAGAAGCACCGGCUAACUCCGUGCCAGCAGCCGCGGUAAUAC
rnacentral:rRNA from 1 species